rnacentral:rRNA from 1 species
GGGUUGGUACUUUCGCAUGGACGAAGUCUGACGGAGCAACGCCGCGUGAACGAUGAAGGCUUUCGGGUCGUAAAGUUCUGUUGUCAGGGAAGAACAAGUAUCGGAGUAACUGCCGGUACCUUGACGGUACCUGACCAGAAAGCCACGGCUAACUACGUGCCAGCAGCCGCGGUAAUACGUAGGUGGCAAGCGUUGUCCGGAAUUAUUGGGCGUAAAGCGCGCGCAGGCGGUUCCUUAAGUCUGAUGUGAAAGCCCCCGGCUCAACCGGGGAGGGUCAUUGGAAACUGGGGAACUUGAGUGCAGAAGAGGAGAGCGGAAUUCCACGUGUAGCGGUGAAAUGCGUAGAGAUGUGGAGGAACACCAGUGGCGAAGGCGGCUCUCUGGUCUGUAACUGACGCUGAGGCGCGAAAGCGUGGGGAGCGAACAGGAUUAGAUACCCUGGUAGUCCACGCCGUAAACGAUGAGUGCUAAGUGUUAGAGGGUUUCCGCCCUUUAGUGCUGCAGCAAACGCAUUAAGCACUCCGCCUGGGGAGUACGGCCGCAAGGCUGAAACUCAAAGGAAUUGACGGGGGCCCGCACAAGCGGUGGAGCAUGUGGUUUAAUUCGAAGCAACGCGAAGAACCUUACCAGGUCUUGACAUCCUCUGACAACCCUAGAGAUAGGGCGUUCCCCUUCGGGGGACAGAGUGACAGGUGGUGCAUGGUUGUCGUCAGCUCGUGUCGUGAGAUGUUGGGUUAAGUCCCGCAACGAGCGCAACCCUUGAUCUUAGUUGCCAGCAUUCAGUUGGGCACUCUAAAGGUGACUGCCGGUGACAAACCGGAGGAAGGUGGGGAUGACGUCAAAUCAUCAUGCCCCUUAUGACCUGGCUACACACGUGCUACAUGGAUGGAACAAAGGUCGCGAGCCGCGAGGUCGAGCCAUCCCAUAAUCCAUUCUCAGUUCGGAUUGCAGCUGCA